rnacentral:rRNA from 1 species
GACGUAGGGCGCGAGCGUUGUCCGGAUUUAUUGGGCGUAAAGAGCUCGUAGGCGGCUUGUCGCGUCGACUGUGAAAUCCCGCGGCUCAACCGCGGGUCUGCAGUCGAUACGGGCAGGCUAGAGUUCGGUAGGGGAGACUGGAAUUCCUGGUGUAGCGGUGAAAUGCGCAGAUAUCAGGAGGAACACCGAUGGCGAAGGCAGGUCUCUGGGCCGAUACUGACGCUGAGGAGCGAAAGCGUGGGGAGCGAACGG